rnacentral:lncRNA from 1 species
UCCAGUAAACCUAUGCACAAGUAAUUUCCCACAAGAUUUACACUUAGUUUUAUUUUGUUCUCUAAGUUGAAUAAAAAAUUGCCAAACUAAUGAUGUUUCUGUACGUUUAGGAAGUUGUCUACUAAAAGUGGGAGUUUGUACGGGUGGGUGUGCCGUUUCAUCACCUAAGUUAUGAGCAGGACUAGUAGGUGUAUCAUCAAAAGUGGGAGUUUGUACGGGUGGGUGUUCCGGUUCAUCACCUAAGUUAUGAGCAGAACUAGUAGGUGUAUCAUCUAAAUCUACUGGAGCUUGCGUUU